AUAUCUGAGCAAAAAUGAACUGAAAUCGUUACCCCCUGGACUUCUCGAUAACAACAAACUACUAUCAAUUUUAUUAUUAGAGACAAACAAGUUAACUGAACUGCCUGAUAAGAUUUUUCGCAACACGACGAUGCUUACAACACUAGGACUUGGCUACAACCAGAUCUCCGUUCUCCACCCUGAUACGUUCAAAGACAUGUCCAGUUUGAAUCAUUU